UCGCGAGAUACCCUGCGGUUUAUCUGAGGACUACAAUGUUCUUCGACCAUUUUGCCUUGAACUGUCCGACGUCGCGGAAGCAUUGUGCUUUUUGUUCGCGAUCGUAAUUUUGUUAGCAUUGUUCCUAGAUUCCAUAGAACCGCGUAAUUAUUCAAGCGUGAAACAAAGCGACUAGAGAACAGGGAAAUACGUCAUUGGCAAAAACCUGGUGAGCCAAUCACGCCAAGCAAAGGCAGCGUCGUCACCAUCGCGCCUUCCGAGGAUCCGCUGAGCGAUACCCACCGGCGGAGAAUUCUACCGAAACCAGCAAAAGGAGUGGGUGAGGAACCUUGUGUCCUCACCGCACUCCCCAGGUACCCUGUAUUGUAUAGUUUUGUCAAUGUGCACAUGUGAUGUCCCUUA